rnacentral:lncRNA from 1 species
AACAGAGAUCCUCAGUAAGUGUGUCGGUCACCUCUUCGCGCGAGCAGGGAGAUCAGAUCGAGAGCAGGACCUCCUCGCCAGUGAUUUGGAAUGAUAAAUGGGGAAGAGAAGGGGGUGAAGUUACCUGGGCGCUCAGGUAGACUUUGAGGCACUCCUCGCACACGGCCUUCUUGCAGCAAGGCAGGGGCUUGAUGGGCUUGUCUUCCAGGCACACCCGGCACAUCAGCACCAUGAGGGGCACAUAGGGAUCCCCUACACCGCCCAGGCCAGAGUAGGGUGGAGCUCCCAACAGGCUGGGCAUGGAGAACGGCUCGGGCGCCAGGCAUGACUAAGAGAUAUCGUGAAAUUACAACUCAACAAUGAAUUACAGCACAGGCUUUUCACAACUAAGAGACUGUCCAUCAUGGUGCCAGUUUUUCUCAAAAUGGCAUGUGUGCAUGAAAUUCUACAGGCAUAUGGGGUCGUGAUCUGCUAAUCUCCAGUUAUUAUAACUACUUUGAAAAGGGACUUUCCAGCUAUCAGUACACUAUCUCACAAUUACCCUUGAACCAGAAGACAAUGAAUGAUUUGCUAAACAGAUGGCAUAGUCUAUGACAUGCAUCAUAUGUGUGAGCAAUCACAGAAGACUCCUUCCUGUUGCCUUGUGAAGAAGGCUCCUGCUUCCCCUUCACCUUCUGCGCGAUUGUAAGUUUCCUGAGGCCUC